GACAGAGGGGGCAAGCGUUGCUCGGAAUUACUGGGCGUAAAGGGCGCGUAAGCGGGAUGGCAAGUCGGUCGUGAAAUCCCUCGGCUCAACCGAGGAACGUCGAUCGAUACUGCUGUUCUUGAGGAUUGCAGAGGAGACUGGAAUUCCCGGUGUAGCGGUGAAAUGUGUAGAGAUCGGGAGGAACACCGGUGGCGAAGGCGGCCAUCUGGACGGAUACUGACGCUGAGACGCGAAAGCGUGGGGAGCAAACAGG
rnacentral:rRNA from 1 species